rnacentral:rRNA from 1 species
UGUCGCCUACGGGACGCAGCAGUAGGGAAUUUUCGUCAAUGGGCGCAAGCCUGAACGAGCAAUGCCGCGUGAACGAGGAAGGUCUUCGGAUCGUAAAGUUCUGUUGAAGGGGAAAAAGAGCGGAGAGAGGAAAUGGUCUCCGAUUGAUAUUACCCUUCGAGGAAGUCACGGCUAACUACGUGCCAGCAGCCGCGGUAAUACGUAGGUGGCGAGCGUUAUCCGGAAUGAUUGGGCAUAAAGGGUGCG